rnacentral:rRNA from 1 species
CCUAAGUCCUCAUGGAUUUGUUUUUUGGCUUUACCCCCAAAAGGCCUCAAACCAAUGGAGAUAUUUUUCCAUCCUUAUAUAACCAUGAUCCUCCCCACUUCUAGUCAAUGUGGGACUUUGGUUGUAUACCCAACACAUACUACUUGGAUAGUCGUAGUAAUUCUAGUGCUAAUAUGUGUACCAAGUCCCAUCUCUUUUGAAGGGAUGUAUUUUUUAUAUAAAAUUUCAGUGUGAGCUUUCCUGCUUCUUCAGUGAAUCAUGAUAACUCAAUGGAUCACACAACCCUUGUGCUAGCAAUGCUUCAUUCAAAUUUCUACCCUAUCAAAUUUCGAUGGUAGGAUAGAGGCCUACCAUGGUGGUGACGAGUGAUGGAGAAUUAGGGUUUGAUUCUAGAGAGGGAGCCUAAGAAAUGGCUACCACUUCCAAGGAAGGCAGUUUGCAAACUACCCAAUCCCAACAUGAGGAGGUAGUGACAUUAAAUAACAAUACUAGGCUCAUCGAGAUUGGUGAUUGGAAUGAGUACAAUCUAAAUCCCUUAACGAGGAUCCAAUGGAGGGGAAAAUUUGGUGUCAAUAGCCAUGGUAAUUAUAGCUCCAAUAUCAUAUAUUUAAGUUGUUGCAAUUAAGAAGCUCGUAUAUGGAUCUUGGGUCGUAAAGGUUGGUCCGCCUAAUCAGUGUGCACUUGCCCUUCUGUCCCUUUUGUUAGAAACAUGGUCCUAGCCUUAAUUCGCUGGGUUGUGGCUGCGACGAUGUUACUUUGAAAAAAUAGAGUGCUCAAAGUAAUCUUAUGCUUUGAAUACAUUAGCAUGGAGUAACAUGAUAGGAGUCUAGUCUUAUUGUGUUGGCCUUCGGGACUGGAGUAAUGAUUAAUAGGGACUUUUGGGAGAAUUCGUAUUUCGUUGUCAAAGGUGAAAUUCUUGGAUUUAUGAAAGAUGGAACAAUACAAAAGCAUUUGCCAAGGAUGUUUUCAUUAAUCAAGAAUAAAACUUGGGGGCUCAAAGAUGAUCAGAUAUUGUCCUAGUCUCAAGCAUAAAUGAUGCCGACCAAGAAUCAACAGAUGUUGCUCUAAGGACUUCGCCAACACCUUCUCAGAAAUCAGAGUGUUUGGGUUCCAAGGGGAGUAUGGUUGUAAGGCUAAAACAUAAAGGAAUUGAUGGAAGGGCACCACCAGAAGUGGAGCUUGUGGCUUGAUUUGACUCAAAAUAGGGAAGCUUACUAGGUCCAGACAUAGUAAAGUUUGACAGAUUGAGAGAUCUUUCUUGAUUCUAUGGGUGGUGGUGCAUGACUGUUCUUAGUUGGUAAAGCGAUUCUUCUGGUUAAUUCUGAUAACGAAUGAGACCUCAGCCUGCUAACUAGAUAUGUGGUGGUUCCCCUUCGUGGCCAACUUCUUAGAGGGAGUAUGGCCAUUUAGGCCAUGGAAGUUUGAGGUAAUAAUAGGUUUGUGAUUUCGUUAGAUGUUAUAGGCAACACGCAUGAUGCACUGAUGUAGCCAACGAGUUUUUCUUCUUGGUUCAAUAGGAUCAGGAAAUGUCCUUAAAUUAAAUCAUGAUGGGGAUAUACCAUUGCAAUUAUUGGUCUUCAACGAGGAAUUCCUAGUAAGCAUGUGUCAUAAACUUGUGUUGACUACAUCCCUGCCCUUUGUACACAUUGUCCAUUACUCCUACAUAUUGAAUGAUUUGGCGAAGUGUUCAAAUUACGUCUAUGAUGGUGGUUUGUUGUCAUCGACGUCAUGAGAAGUUCAUUGAACCUUAUCAUUUACAAGAAGGAGAAGUCGUAACAAGGUUAUUGUAGGUGAACCUGCGGUAG